UACCCGUCUUAUUCUCUUUUAAAAACUUCUCAAAAUUUUGCUCUCUGCCUGUCUCUUCUUCUCUUUCGAAAACUUCUAGAAGAAUCGCUCUCCCUUUCUGGCUCUUUGUCUCUCAUAUCAUCUUUUUCAUUCUCAUUCUUCCAAAAAUUAUUACUAAAUCAUCUUCUUCUCCACACUCGUCCAUCAAAUUGUGAGAUCAUGGAGUUAAAUUCAGGAUCGAUUGAUCCUAUGUUCUAUACGAUCAAUCAAUUCAUCAAUCAUCAGUUGUAUGGGAAGAUCGUAUCAUUGGUGAGAUAUCCUGUAGAUAUCGAGAGGCAGUUGUUCAUUGCACUAUCUCACCCCACCCUAUAAUACUACCAUUACUUUGUAUGUCUGGAUUUUAUAGAGUUUCCAUAUUGGGAUUCAUUCAGCUAGAUUAACCUCUCAUCACAAUAAUGAUCAAGAGAUGGAGGCCUAAGACGCAUACAUUUCAUGUGCCCACUAGAGAGUGUACUAUCACUUUACAUGACAUAAAAGUGUUGUACGGGUUACUUGUCGACGGCGAACUAGUUACUGGAGUAAUGCAUGAUGACUGGUUGAAUAUUUGUCAACUGUUACUCGGUGUGACCUUACCCACCGAUAAAAUUAAAAGAUCAAGUUUGACAUGGUUAAGUACAUAAUUUUGUGAGCUUGCUAAUGAUGCUGACAAAGAAGCCGUCAUGAGAUAUACGCGAGCAUAUAUACUACAGAUGAUGGAUGGAAGUCUGUUUUCUGACAAAUCAAGUCAUUUCAUUCACUCGAUGUUCUUACCAUUGUUAGCUAACCUCUAUGAUGCGGAACGGUCUUCUUGGGGUGGAGCAUGUUUGGCAUGGUUGUAUAGACAACUAUGCAAAGAAACAAAACCUGAAGAUCGUGAAAUCGUUGGGCCUCUGAUACUUUUGCAAUUAUGGGCUUGGGAACUAUUUCCAACAAUGGCUCCACAGCUACAACAUGUUGAUGACGCUCAAUUAGUUGGAUGAGUCUACGCUUCUCGGUAUGUUAUUUUAAUUGAGUUUAAUUUAACAAAUAUAUUUUAUAUGACUGAUCUAGUUGAUUUGAAAUCUUAAAUAUUAAUUUAAUAAGAUAGGUGGAGAGACACAUUUUGUGUGACUAGGACAACUACACAUGUAGUUGAUCAGUACAGAUACAUGUUUAAUCUGCUUCAACCUUAUCAGAUUAUUUGAGAGCCUUACAAAGCUGUCAUUGACACUUUGUCCAAUUUCUGUACGAACGAUAAAAGACGAUAAGUCCUUUCAUAUAUUUUCUCAUUGGUGAAUAGCAUCUUCCUGACAGGGUAAUGAAAAUGUGGUUUCUAGUAAGAUGUCCCAUCGUCUUGUAAUAUUGAACCCCUACUACAUGAAAUCAACCUAAGAACUGG